GAAUCCGUCCCUUGGCCUGAGGAGCUUGGAGCUCCUAGGCUGGGGGCGUCCCAGAUGUUGUGGAACUGUCCCUGGAUCUAUAGCUCUUCACCGUCUCUACUUUCUUCCUUCUAAGAGAUCCUGAAACCUCUGUCAUGGAAAAGUACCACGUGUUGGAGAUGAUUGGAGAAGGCUCUUUUGGGAGGGUGUACAAGGGUCGAAGAAAAUACAGUGCUCAGGUGUUGCACAAAGAGGGAUACCUUUUGGGUGGGAUUUGGUACCCCCAACUCCAGUGGAAAAUGGAUCUAGAAGGAAUGUAUUUAUACCAGUUUGUAUUCCUAAGGUACUGACUCCCUCAUACUUCUUAUGGAGUAUAAGCUUUGAAGUUGGAUUAUUUGGGUGCAAAUUCCAUCUCCACCGCUUUCUAGCCCUAGAAUUAUGGACAAAUUACUUAACUUCCCUAUGUCUCAAUUUCCUUAUCUCUAGAAUGGGGAUAAGAACAGCAACUGAUUGAUGGAGUUUGAGGAUUAAAUAUGUUUUCACAUUAAAUCACUUAGUACAGUGCCUGGCUGUUAGUAA
rnacentral:lncRNA from 1 species